UACGAAGGGGGCUAGCGUUGCUCGGAAUCACUGGGCGUAAAGGGCGCGUAGGCGGCCAUUCAAGUCAGAGGUGAAAGCCCCCGGCUCAACCGGGGAAUGUGAUUGCAAACUGGGCUUCUUGAGGGGGAUAGAGGAGAGUGGAAUUCCUGGUGUAGCGGUGAAAUGCGUAGAGAUCAGGAGGAACACCCGUGGCGAAGGCGGCACUCUGGGCCGGUACUGACGCUGAGGAGCGAAAGCGUGGGGAGCGAACAGG
rnacentral:rRNA from 1 species